UUGAUUUCAACAAAUGAAGGCACCCAUAUAGGGUUUAAAUAGGGAAUCCGGUGAAAUUCCGGAGCUGUCCCCGCAACUGUAAAUGCGAACGACCGGAUUAGCCACUGGUUCGAAAUAAUCGAACUGGGAAGGCCCCAUUAGGAUGAUGCAUGAGCCAGGAGACCUCCCUUUUAUUUGUCGGAUUU
rnacentral:ncRNA from 2 species